GAACGCACAUUGCGCCUUCUGGUAUUCCGGGAGGCAUGCCUGUUCGAGAGUCAUUGACACAAACCACGUCGUCGACCCUCACCUUUCUAAAGGGGGGUGGGGGGUCGUCGGCGGUCCUGGUGGAUGAGGGGGGAAUAGUUGGCAAAUAUAUAUAAUAAUCUCCUCCCCACCGAAAUUGAGAGGCAGUCUGUGAGUGAUAAAAACCCACACAUGUUCGUUUAUGGCGUUGUAUAGACGGCUCUCAAAUUGUGGAGCCAACUCUGUUCGCUUGUAACAAACUUCCCUGGGUCUUACCUCGACUAGCCUUCCAAAGUUCCUAAAAUCUCAAGGGUUUGACCUCGGAUCAGGUAGGGAUACCCGCUGAACUUA
rnacentral:misc_RNA from 2 species